rnacentral:rRNA from 1 species
UGGCUCAGGAUGAACGCUAGCGGCAGGCUUAACACAUGCAAGUCGAGGGGCAGCGGGAGGAGUGCUUGCACUUCUUGCCGGCGACCGGCGCACGGGUGAGUAACACGUAUGCAACCUGCCUCCGUCAGGGGGACAACCCGGCGAAAGCCGGGCUAAUCCCGCGUAUAUUCCGUGAGGGCAUCCUUACGGAAGGAAAGGCUUCGGCCGGACGGGGAUGGGCAUGCGGCGCAUUAGGUAGUCGGGGGUGUAACGGACCACCGAGCCGACGAUGCGUAGGGGUUCUGAGAGGAAGGUCCCCCACACUGGUACUGAGACACGGACCAGACUCCUACGGGAGGCAGCAGUGAGGAAUAUUGGUCAAUGGUCGGAAGACUGAACCAGCCAAGCCGCGUGAAGGAAGAAGGUGCUCGGCAUCGUAAACUUCUUUUGUCAGGGAACAAAGGGCGGUACGUGUACCGCUGUGAGUGUACCUGAAGAAAAAGCAUCGGCUAACUCCGUGCCAGCAGCCGCGGUAAUACGGAGGAUGCGAGCGUUAUCCGGAUUUAUUGGGUUUAAAGGGUGCGCAGGCGGCGCGGUAAGUCAGCGGUAAAAGCCCGGGGCUCAACCCCGGCGAGCCGUUGAAACUGCCGUGCUAGAGUAAGGUCGAGGUAUGCGGAAUGCGCGGUGUAGCGGUGAAAUGCAUAGAUAUCGCGCAGAACUCCGAUUGCGAAGGCAGCAUACCGGUCCUUUACUGACGCUCAGGCACGAAAGCGUGGGGAUCAAACAGGCUUAGAUACCCUGGUAGUCCACGCAGUAAACGAUGAAUACUGGGUGUUCGGAAUGUAGAUUCUGAGUGCCGAAGCGAAAGCGUUAAGUAUUCCACCUGGGGAGUACGCCGGCAACGGUGAAACUCAAAGGAAUUGACGGGGGCCCGCACAAGCGGAGGAACAUGUGGUUUAAUUCGAUGAUACGCGAGGAACCUUACCCGGGCUCAAACGCCGCCGGACAGGAAAAGAGAUUUUCCCUCCUACGGGUCGGCGGCGAGGUGCUGCAUGGUUGUCGUCAGCUCGUGCCGUGAGGUGUCGGCUUAAGUGCCAUAACGAGCGCAACCCCUGCGGGCAGUUGCUAACGGAUAAAGCCGAGGACUCUGCCCGGACUGCCGGCGCAAGCCGCGAGGAAGGCGGGGAUGACGUCAAAUCAGCACGGCCCUUACGU